rnacentral:rRNA from 1 species
UACGUAUGGGGCGAGCGUUGUUCGGAAUUAUUGGGUGUAAAGGGCGUCUAGGCGGGAGAUUAAGUUAGAUGUGAAAGGCGUGGGCUUAACCCACGAAUUGCAUCUAAAACUGGUUUUCUUGAGUUCGGGAGAGGAGAGCGGAAUUCUUGGUGUAGCGGUGAAAUGCGUAGAUAUCAAGAAGAACACCAGUGGCGAAGGCGGCUCUCUGGCCUAGAACUGACGCUGAAGCGCGAAAGCGUGGGUAGCGAACGGGAUUAGAUACCCGUGUAGUCCCUGA